UGGCGGCUGCCUUACCUGCAAGUCGAACGGCAGCACGGGGGGUAACCCCUGGUGGCGAGUGGUGAACGGGUGAGUAAUAUAUCGGAACGUACCCUGUAGCGGGGGAUAACCUAUCGAAAGAUGGACUAAUACCGCAUACGACCUAAGGGUGAAAGCGGAGGACCGCAAGGCUUCGCACUAUAGGAGCGGCCGAUAUCGGAUUAGCUAGUUGGUGGGGUAACGGCCUACCAAGGCGACGAUCCGUAGCUGGUCUGAGAGGACGAUCAGCCACACUGGAACUGAGACACGGUCCAGACUCCUACGGGAGGCAGCAGUGGGGAAUUUUGGACAAUGGGCGCAAGCCUGAUCCAGCCAUGCCGCGUGAGUGAAGAAGGCCUUCGGGUUGUAAAGCUCUUUCGGCGGGGACGAAACGGUUCGUGCUAAUACCACGGACUAAUGACGGUACCCGCAUAAGAAGCACCGGCUAACUACGUGCCAGCAGCCGCGGUAAUACGUAGGGUGCAGGCGUUAAUCGGAAUUACUGGGCGUAAAGCGUGCGCAGGCGGUUUGUUAAGACAGGUGUGAAAUCCCCGGGCUUAACCUGGGAAUUGCGCUUGUAACUGGCAGACUUGAGUGUGGCAGAGGGGGGUGGAAUUCCAAGUGUAGCAGUGAAAUGCGUAGAUAUUUGGAGGAACACCGAUGGCGAAGGCAGCCCCCUGCGCUAACACUGACGCUCAUGCACGAAAGCGUGGGGAGCAAACAGGAUUAGAUACCCUGGUAGUCCACGCCCUAAACUAUGUCAACUGGG
rnacentral:rRNA from 1 species